GCUUCCACCAUAUCACGUAGCCGCCGCCUCUGCUCUCUCCUGCAGGCGAGUGCAUCCGGUCAAACACUAAAACAACCCUGCAGAAGGACAAGUCACUAUGGUUCACGGACUCCUAAUUGCUCUCCUUCUCUCGUGCCUGACGGUGUCGACUGUGGUGACGGAGGACAAUGACGUUAUUCAUGAAAUGCGCUCCACAAUGGUGGUGUCACAGCUGAUGUUGGCCGAGCAGACGGCAGUGUUGCAGGAACUCCUCAACGCUUCACGCUCAACGCUUCGUUUCUUCGCUGAAGAGUCUUCCUGCCCGUACCCCUACAAGAAGGUGCUGGACGAGUGUUUCUACGUCUGUGGAAAGAAGGUUACGUUUGACCAGGCCCGCCAACACUGUCAGGGGAUGGCAGGUGACCUGGCCCACCCCAAACACCUCCACGCCCUCUUAUCGCUCCUCUUCGAAUAUGAACAGAUAAUAGGUGGCAACGUGUGGAUGGGAGCAACUGACUCACACCAAGAAAACACCUGGUUGUGGCCUGAUGGAAGUCCAGUCUUGAAAUGGGGUCGUGGAGAACCAAGCCGAUUAAACAGUGCCUCUGUAAAGGAAGACUGCUUAGAACUACGCUUGGAAACUAACAUGCUGCUGAACGAUGUCAUCUGCACCAAGAAAAUGCCCUUUGUCUGUCAACACCCAUAAAGAUAAUCAAGAAUCAUCCACUUAUGUCUUCACAAGGAACGUAUUAUUCUUAGACUCUUAUUUCAUGCUUCUUUAUGCCUUUAUAAUUCCUUAAUGUUUUGUGAUUCUCAUUUUUCAUAUGUGCUGGUAGUAUAUUUAGGUUAGAUUAGGUUAGGUUAGGUUAGGUGAGACAUGCCAGGGAAGAGCUCACGUCAUUGGUGGGUAAAGGACCAAUCAUCGUACGUCGUUCCCACACACACACACACACACUCGUAUAUUCCGUCACAUUGUGUCAGGAUUACUGUGGCGAAGACGAGUUCACAUCUCAGCUGACCCAUUACCAUCUAGGCUGACUAUACUUGUUACUAAAACACUACUCUUAAAGGGGACACAUCUGUACCGGCGACCAGUUUUAUUCACUCAAACACUAAUGGGUUGUAAGAGCGUAACGUUUAAACUCACCAAGUUAAUGAAGUUAAAUCUGAAGAACACCACAAUAGGCUGUCGUAAUGAAGAUGAUGAUGAUGAUGAUGAUGAUGAUGAUGAUAAUAAUAAUAAUUAUCAUUAGAACUACUACGAUGUAUGGUAUACAACUAUACAUAUACAAAAGAAACAUCAAGAAUGGUGCAGCUUCAAGUGAGCAUUACCCAGACACACAGUAAAAUCAUUUAUUUCUCCUACGUUAGACGCAGCUGGUUCCCGAAGCCCCCUUGCACCUUCUCCACUUGUAAACUAUCAUUAAACAAUCCAAUGGUCGACUGUAUUGAGUAUGGGUCAACACAAGAGAACAUCGACUUAUAGUGUGUUUUCGAGAUUGUUUGUUUGUUUUGUUUUGUUUAUCCUCCGGGUACAAAGAGUACACUGCAGGCUGGCACUAGCAUCUCGCAUUAUCAUCACUGCCCGGUCCUACCCUCCCCCUGCCCCGCUUAUGAGAGACGGUCGCCAGAUUUAUAGAUCAUCAUUAUUGUCACUCAUGCGUCAGGUGAAUAAACUUUUUACUCAUCAGCAGCUUCUACACUGAAUCUAUCAGUGGCCUUAAACACACACACACACACACACACACCACCGAAGGGUCAAGAGGUACCUAGCGCUCCUCUGGCAAGAGCCAAGUCAACUGUUAUGUUGGCCCAUACCAACUCCCUCCCUUGAACCCUCCUCCCCACCGGAAUAUCAACAAGUUCUCGUCAGAAGUUACUAUUUCAUUUAGG
rnacentral:misc_RNA from 1 species